UGGAUAUUAUUCCAAAUGUAAUACAAUGCCAGUGGAAAUUUUAAAUGGAAAAAUGACAUGAUAAAGUUAAGAGCACAGGUAGUAUAGCGUAACAGUUAAGGGUUUGAGGCCAGAAUAGAACAGAGCUAGGUUCAAAUCCUAGGUCUGCCAUGAACUAGCUAUGUGAACUUGGGACUAGAUACUUGGGUU